rnacentral:rRNA from 1 species
CUGUUUCGGCUAGGGGGUCAUCCCGACUUACCAACCCGAUGCAAACUACGAAUACCGAAGAAUGUUAUCACGGGAGACACACGGCGGGUGCUAACGUCCGUCGUGAAGAGGGAAACAACCCAGACCGCCAGCUAAGGUCCCAAAGUCAUGGUUAAGUGGGAAACGAUGUGGGAAGGCACAGACAGCCAGGAUGUUGGCUUAGAAGCAGCCAUCAUUUAAAGAAAGCGUAAUAGCUCACUGGUCGAGUCGGCCUGCGCGGAAGAUGUAACGGGGCUAAACCAUGCACCGAAGCUGCGGCAGCGACACUAUGUGUUGUUGGGUAGGGGAGCGUUCUGUAAGCCUGCGAAGGUGUGCUGUGAGGCAUGCUGGAGGUAUCAGAAGUGCGAAUGCUGACAUAAGUAACGAUAAAGCGGGUGAAAAGCCCGCUCGCCGGAAGACCAAGGGUUCCUGUCCAACGUUAAUCGGGGCAGGGUGAGUCGACCCCUAAGGCGAGGCCGAAAGGCGUAGUCGAUGGGAAACAGGUUAAUAUUCCUGUACUUGGUGUUACUGCGAAGGGGGGACGGAGAAGGCUAUGUUAGCCGGGCGACGGUUGUCCCGGUUUAAGCAUGUAGGCUGGUUGUCCAGGCAAAUCCGGAUAAUCAAGGCUGAGGUGUGAUGACGAGGCACUACGGUGCUGAAGUAACAAAUGCCCUGCUUCCAGGAAAAGCCUCUAAGCAUCAGGUAACAUUAAAUCGUACCCCAAACCGACACAGGUGGUCAGGUAGAGAAUACCAAGGCGCUUGAGAGAACUCGGGUGAAGGAACUAGGCAAAAUGGUGCCGUAACUUCGGGAGAAGG